UCUAGAAAAACCAAAUUGGACACUUCUAUUUUCUGUUAAGUGAACACGUAAUCUGAUUAUGGAGAAACCCACAUCAACGAUUGUUGCUUUAAUGAUUGAUUUAUAUUGGGUAUUUUGUUAAGAUGCUAUAUGUAAUCUACUUUUCUUAUUUGGGGAGGAUUAUCUGUUCCCUUUUGAUUUUGGAUGGGGAAAAACCACUUCAAUGGCUUUGGAAUCUUGAUCCCUCACAAAAUCAAGAUCCAUGAUAGCUUUCCAAUUUUAUCAAUUCAUCCCAAUUCUCUUCUUCUGUUUCAUAACAACAAUCCAUUAUCCACCCCAUCUUGAUCUCACCUCCUUCUGUCCAUUCCCAUGCCCAUGAUCUAUGGACCAGUUUGAUGACGAUGAUCUUGACGUUUUUUUGGAUAAAGAUUUCGACCCACUUUGCGCCACAGAUGGGAUGUCUUGGAUCUGGAUGAAAGCUAUGGGAAGACCAUGGAGAAUUAUGCGGUCACGAUUUGCCGGGAUCAGUCUAGGUAUAGCCUCGGACACCCUUCCAAAAAAAUGAGGCUAUUCUUGACAGGUUUUGAGUUGUAAAUAUUAUGUACGGAAUUGUUUAGCAAUUAGCAGAUGUAUAAUGAAUCUUUUGGAUUCCGAAAAGCUAAUUAGUAAAGAUCUGAUUCAAAU